GGUGGCUCAGUGGUAGAGAGCUUGCCUUGCAUGCAUGAAGCCCUAGGUUCGAUUCCUCAGCACCA
rnacentral:tRNA from 1 species